AGGAUACUGGGAGGAAAACCAGGACAGGUUGUAUGGUUCGAGAUGGUGUUUCAGGAAGAGGCUAUUCACUCAAAAUAAGGAAAAAGAAAGAAAGGAUUAAGAAUCAACAGGCCAGUCCUGCAAGCAGAGGGAUUUGUAGACCCAGCCCGGUUCCACAGCUUGUGAGUCUGCAGAUGACUGCCAUCUGAGGGAUCCACAGGAUUGUCCUCAGAGUUCCAUGGAGGCUAAGUGGAGUCUUAGUGAUGACAGGUGACAAGUUCACAGUGCUGUGUGCUGUCUGAUCCACACCACUGGGAGAAGAUAGGUCCCUGGGAGUGGACGGCAGCUGUGAGCACCCUGGGC
rnacentral:lncRNA from 1 species